rnacentral:lncRNA from 1 species
AUCGACGCGCGCCGGAGGGGGAGCGGAUCAGUUGGCCGCCGGCUUGAAGGAGGUGAGCUGGCGGGUCUUGGUCCAGGACUGCUCGUAGACCUCGGCGAGGUAGGGCGCGCUCCUGCCGGAGCCGUCGGCCGCGUCGACGAAGAGGCGGUAGUUCAUGCCGGAGACCACCUGCUGCUCGCCGCGCGUGACCCGGCGGAACCGCAGCCCGUCGCUGGCCAGCCUCGCGUGCUGCUCCACCGCCCACCCGCCCAGCUCCUGGAUGUGCGCGUCCCUCACGUCCGGGAUGGGGCCCCACCCGCCGACCCGCGCGCCGCGGCCGCCCAGCGCCGCCGCCGGGGUGGCCGCGGCGAGGGCCGCGGCGAGGAGGGCGAGCAGGAGGAGGACGGGUGCCCGCGCCAUGGAGGAGAUGGCUGGUGUUGGGGGUUGGGAAUUGGGAGCGGUGGUGGAUCUGCUCGAAGCGUCGACGGAAGUGAUUGCGUGAAGGCGGUUUGGUUUGGGUGCGCAUGGGUUGUGAUGGCGAAUUUAUUGGACGGUCUCGGAGCCAAAGGGCCCAUGCGAAGUGGCGAUAGGAGAACGAAUGACUUUUUUGACCCAAACAAUGCACGUGAACGUGAACGCUGCUGUGUGCGGUGAAGACUUCCAAAGCAUCUCAUUCGGCCUCAGUGGCCUCAUAGGGCCCCUCGGCACAUUCCAGAGUGCGCCAACGGUUUUUUCGGCGGUUUUCAGUUUCUUUAUUAUUACUAGAAAAACGCCCGUGCAUUGCAACGGGCACAUUAACUUUAAAAAUUCAAUAUCAAUUAUGUUAAUAUUAUAUUAAAUAUUCUCAUACAUAUUAAGUGACAUUGACGACUUUUUUUUACCAUCAAAUUCUCACACACACCCUCUUCCUCCCUCUUCCUCACUCUCUCUCCUCCUUUCCCUCACUCGGGAGGUGGGACGAAAAUAAACCCGGAACGGAGACUAGCAACUGAGACAUUAGAAGUAGAGAUCAUUUAGUUGAUAAGAAUAAAUAGAAAACGGUGUUAAAAAAAGGAGAAACAUAUUAGAAUACAUUGAAAAACCAAAAGGACGAUGUAAAAAGGGAUUCGCCCUGCCCCUCGGGCCUUGCCACCGAACCGGCUCAGCGGUCCAGUCCCCGCGCGAUCGUCUUCUCCUGUUCCUCGAGCCGCGUCGCUACAGAGCCGGGCCGACUAUGAUGCCCAGUCUAGCCGACUCAACGUGACAUUAGCACUUGUCCAAGUACCAAAGCCCAGGAAUCCUUUACUCUCUGAAGUCAUUGAUCUCUCCACUGUCAUGGCGGACAAGAUGUACGUUGGUUUUUCGGCUUCUGGAGGUUAUGGCGUAGGCACACGCCACUAUCUCCUUGGAUGGAGCUUCAGCAUGGACGGGGUUGCCCCGCUGCUAGACAUCUCCAAGCUGCCCACCCUGCCACACAUGGGUCCCAAGUCUCGCUCCAAGAUGAUGGAUGUCGUGUUGCCACUGGUCGCGGCUUUGCUUGUCAUUGCAGUGCUAGCCAUGGUCUUCUUCUUGUGGCGUCGGCGCCAAUUUGCGGAGGUGCGAGAAGAUUGGGAGGACGAGUUCAGUCCACAUCGUUUUGCAUACAAGGAUCUAUUUCAUGCCACUGAGGGGUUUCCAGGUAGGAAUUUACUUGGUGUAGGAGGAUUUGGAAGAGUGUACAAUGGGGUGCUUUCUGCCUCCAAUCUGGAGGUUGCACUGAAGAGAGUGGCACAUGAUUCGAAACAAGGACUAAGAGAGUUCAUUGCUGAGGUGGUGAGCAUUGGUCGUCUCCGCCACCGGAAUCUUGCGCAGUUACUAGGCUAUUGCCAGCGAAAGGGUGAACUUCUCUUGGUUUAUGACUACAUGGAAAAUGAUAGUCUUGACAAAUACUUGUACAAUAGAAAUAUGCCAACUCUACAAUGGUCUGAGAGGUACCAAAUCAUCAAAGGUGUUGCAUCAAGUUUGUUGUAUCUUCAUGAGGAAUGGGAGCAAAUCGUCAUCCAUAGAGAUAUAAAGGCUAGCAAUUAAUGUGCUCUUGGACAGUCAGUUGAAUGGACGGCUAGGUGAUUUUGGUCUAGCAAGGUUGUACGACCAUGGCACGGUUGCUAAAACAACACAUGUGGUGGGCACCAUGGGAUACCUUGCACCCUAACUUAUACGCACCGGGAAGGCAACACCCUUAACCGAUGUGUUCGCAUUUGGCGUGUUUCUCCUAGAGGUCGCAUGUGGACGUAGGCCAAUUAACAUCAGUAAGGAUGUCACACAAAUAGUGUUGGUCGACUGGGUGCAUGAACGUCACCGCAACAGCUCAAUUCACGACGUGGUAGAUCCACGACUCGUGGGGAAUUUCAACAUAGAGGAAGUCACUCUCGUGCUUAAAUUAUAGGUUUAUUAUGCUCCUACCCAUCAUCCAGUGCAAGGCCUAGCAUGCGGAAGAUCGUGCAAUACCUGGACCGUGGCCAAUCAGUUCCUGGCCUGUCUCCAACCUACGUGAGUUACCGAAAAAGGGUUUCCCCCCGCUUUGUAUUACAAAGCAACAACAUCGAUACAACGGUCCAAUGAUGCAGCGUGAAGGGUUCGAUUCGUACAUAAUACCGUCCAAUUCGUCGAAUAGCACUGUGUGUGGUCAGUCUUCGGUGACAAUUCUGCAGGAGGGGAGGUGAAGGCUUGCAAUUGACGCCUCUUUUUUUUGUUUCUUGUCUCAUUGUUCCUUUAAGUGCUUGUAAUCCACUUCUGAUGUGAGCUUUCCUUUGAAUAUCUUGUGAACCAGGUAUGCUGGGGGACCAAACCGAGUUUUCAUAGUGAUAUUUCUAUUUUGUACAUCAGUUUAGUGGUCAUUAGUGAUAUUACCUCAACUUUCCAGUGACAGUCUCUAGCAAGUCGAUCUGCACCCAUGCACAGUUCUCCCAAAUUAAAUGGUUCACCUAGGUACGCUUACUCUAUGCUAGUUAGAGCAUUUCUAACCGAUCCCCUAAAAUUUAGCGGAGUAAAAGGCUUAAUGAAGGGCUUAGUGGAGUAUAUAUACUUCACUAAGUUUUGGCUGGACCUAGCCGAUCCCCUAAAUAUAACGGACUAACGGAGUAAAUUUUGUUUUUCUAAACUUUGCAAUUCUAGUAUAAAUUGCAACUACAUAUGGCACACAUAUAUAAACUAAACAUAAAUUUAAAUGUUCAACCAAAUUACGAAUAUAGUUUACAAACCGAACUUAAACACGCUGAAUGGUUGAAUGUAGCAAAUAGCAUUUCAUAGAACAACUAGGACGCGCUUAGACGUUGCCAAUGAUGCUCAACAAGAUCUUGUUGGAGCUGAGUAUGAACUUGACAGUUCUCGAUCUUGCGAUGCCCUUCAAGGAAUGUCAAGAUCUUGUUUGUAUCAUACUGUGGCUCAACCGGAAUCCGAUUGGUGAUGUACCGAAAGUUCUAAGGCAUAUCUCUCUCGUCUUCAAGGAUUAUGUUAUGCAAUAUGAUGCAACAAGUCAUGAUUCGCCAUAGAACCUUGGAGUUACAGUACUCGGCAGGGUCACGAACAAUUGCAAAGCGCUUCUGAAGCACAUUGAAGGCUCUUUUCACAUUUUUCCUUGCAGCUUCUUGAUAUUGGGCAAAGUGAGUGUUUUUGUUAUCUUUUGAAUACAUAGACGACGAGCUCGAGACCGUGGACUCCAUGUCUCCAUGUGAGCAGAUAGCCACUAACUCUAGCGGGCCUAUCAUUCCUAGUACGAGGCAGACGUAUUACGCUGAAUUCAACGUUUCAGCACACUGAAAAUCAUUCCCCUUAUUUUCCUGCUUCCUUCCACAUGCAACGGCGAACGCUCCUUGCCUUGCCCUGCGUGGCACGGUGCUUGAUUACCCAGCUAACCAGUCACUGCGAAAACAGAUCGAGACUCCAAAUUCAUAUGCUAACAAUGAGAAAACAAAGAAAACCAAUGUAAUAUGAGGAUAAAAUGAAAAAAAAUGUGAAAGACAAUAAAAACAACAAAUAAGAGAUAACAAAUAAGGAAAAAUGGACUGAACGAACCUGCAGCGACCGCUAUGAGCGCCAGCGACUACCGCGCUAAAAGCGCCAGCCCACUAGUGGUAGCCCGUAGGCAAUUCCUGUUAGGAGUCGGUUCGGGCGACCGAUAGCUGUUGCGCUCAUCUUCGUACGUGUGGAUCGAGACUCCAAACUCAUAUGUUUCUAUUAUGGCCCGCUAAAAUACCAAACUAAUCUUUUCGCCCCCCGAUUUUCACCGGGGUGGGCCCCUUACGUCAAAAUACGUAGAUCACGUACUUCUUACGUAAAUAGAAAACGGGCCCGAUCUUCCCUCCUAGUGAUCCAAUAAUAAUCCUCCAGGGUACUUCUUACGUAAAUCACGUACCAAACUUUACGUAGGUCUAGCAUUACUCCCCGUUUCCCUCCUCCCAACUAUACCUGGGCAUAACUUGGGCCGGACCGAGCUUCAGGCCAGGCCUAACAAAGACCGAAGCAGAAAACCUAGGCCCGUCCCGGCUGUGUGGCCUAGUUUUCAGGCCCAAGCCCGGCCUAUCAGACAAAAAGCCCAUUGGGCCUCAGGCUAGGCCUCUUCCUUAAAUUGCAAAUACGACAAGCUCGAGCCCGGCCAAGCCCAGCCAUCAGGCUCAAAAUCUAGGCCUAGGCCUAGCCCAUGGGCAAGGUCGGGUCGGCCUCUUUUGGUCCGCGUCGGGUCAGCGGGCCGGGCUGCGCAUGGCUAGGUAUACUCCCAACUAUUGCUAGCACCAACUUCCACCUGACACGCGCUUCAGCCUAUUGAGGUAGAAGGCAUACAUAGACGACGAGGUCGAGAACAAGGACUCCAUGGGAGCAGAUAGCCAUUAACUGUAGCAGGCCUAUCUAUCAUUCGUAGUAGUACGAGGCAGACGUAUUGCGUUGAAAUUCAUAGUAGUACGAGGCAGACGUAUUGCGUUGAAUUCAACGUUUCAGCACACAGAAAAUCAUUUCCGGUAUCGGCCACAGGAGGUACCCUCCCCCUCAUUUUCCUGCUUUCUUCCACGUGCAACGACGAACGCUCCUUGCCUUGCCCCGCGAAAGGGUCACUGCGAAAGAUACUCAAGAAAAAUGGUAUUCCUUGUCAAAAUACGUCCUCCUCAGUGUAGUUUCCACAGCCCAAAGCUAGAAAACCAAGCCUGCAAGGCUCCAAUCACCCAUCCACAACGUCAGAAGAAGAACCUUGGUCUGCUAGCUCCUCCUUGCAAGUGUGACAAGGCGCCAUGCUUUCUCAGUCUCUGCUCGCGCUUGGUUUGCUCCUCCUGCUGAGCCUGAGCCUCGACGGAGAGGUGGCUCUAGCGGCGGAAGACGGCGAGUUCGCCUACCAAGGAUUCGCCACGGCGAACCUUACGCUGGAUGGCCUCGCCACCGUCAUGCCCAACGGCCUCCUGCUGCUCACCGACACGGAGUCCUCGAACACGGGCCAUGCCUUCCACCCCGCGCCACUCCAGUUCCUCCUCGAAAGUUCCACCACGACGACGAGCAGCACCACCAUGGCGCGGUCCUUCUCCACGACCUUCGUGUUUGCCAUUUCGUCCAGGUACGAUGGCCUGACCAGCUACGGGCUUGCGUUCGUGGUCGCUCCGACCUCGAACCUCUCGACUGCGAACGGCGGGCGGUACAUGGGCCUCCUCAACGCGACAAACGGCACGGCGAGCCACCGCAUCCUGGCGGUCGAGCUCGACACCAUCAUGGACGUCGCGUUCCGCGACAUCGACAGCAACCACGUCGGCAUCGACGUCAACAGCCUAGUCUCACGGCAGGCCAAGCCGGCUGGGUACUACAGCAACGAGAACGGCGCCUUCCAAGAUCUGAGGUUGAACAGCCGCAAACCGAUGCAGGUGUGGGUGGACUAUGACGCCCAAGCCAGGCGAAUCAAUGUGACAUUAGCACCUGUGCAGGUACCAAAGCCCAGGAAUCCUCUACUCUCCGAGGUUAUUGAUCUCUCCACGGUCAUGGUGGACGAAAUGUACGUCGGCUUUUCUGCUUCUAGCGGUACUCCCGGUGACAAUCACCACUCUGUCCUUGGAUGGAGUUUCAGCUUCGACGGACCUGCCCCGGCGCUAGACUUCUUCAAGCUUCCCGCCCUGCCACGCCUAGGUCCCAAGCCUCGGUCCAAGAUCUUGGACGUCGUGUUGCCACCGGCCACGGUAUCGCUUGUCAUUGCCGUGCUAGCUGCCGUCUUCUUCUUCUUGUGGCAUCGGCGCCGAUUUGCCGAGGUGAGAGAAGAUUGGGAGGAUGAGUUCGGCCCACACCGUUUCGCAUACAAGGAUUUAUUUCAUGCCACUGAGGGGUUUUCGGGUAGGAAUUUACUUGGAGUAGGAGGAUUUGGAAGAGUGUACAGAGGAUUGCUUUCUGCGUUCAAUUUGGAGGUUGCGGUGAAGAGGGUGUCACAUGAUUCUAAACAAGGACUAAGGGAGUUCAUUGCGGAGGUGGUGAGCAUUGGCCGUCUCCAACACCGGAAUCUCGCACGGUUACUAGGCUACUGCCGUCGGAAGGGUGAACUUCUCUUGGUUUAUGAGUACAUGGAAAAUGGUAGUCUUGACAAGUACUUACAUACUCAAAAUAAGCCAGCUCUACAUUGGCCUGAGAGGUUUCGGAUCAUCAAAGGUGUCGCAUCAAGCUUGUUGUAUCUUCAUGAGGAAUGGGAGCAAAUUGUCAUCCAUCGAGAUAUAAAGGCUAGCAAUGUGCUCUUGGACAGUCAGAUGAAUGGACGGCUCGGUGAUUUUGGUCUAGCAAGGUUAUACGACCAUGGCACAGUUUCUAAAACAACACAUGUGGUGGGCACCAUGGGGUACCUUGCACCGGAACUUAUACGCACCGGGAAGGCAACACCCUUAACCGAUGUGUUCGCAUUUGGUGUGUUUAUCCUUGAGGUCGCAUGUGGGCCUAGACCAAUCAACAGUAGCAAGGAUAUCACAGAGUUAGUGUUGGUCGAUUGGGUGCUUGAACAUCACCACAACGGCUCAAUUCUCGACGUGGUCGAUCCACGUCUUAUGGGGAAUUUCAACACAGAGGAAGCCACCCUCCUGCUCAAAUUAGGUUUGUUAUGCUCCUACCCAUCGGCCAAUGCAAGACCUAGCAUGCGAAAGGUCAUGCAAUACCUGAACCGCGACCAGUCAAUUCCUGACCUGUCCGCCUACAUGAGUUACAACAGGAUAGCAAUGAUGCAGAAUGAAGGGUUCGAUUCAUACGUAAUGUCGUACCCUUCAUCGAAUACGAAUAUUUGUGUUGUAUCUGGUGAGUCUUCGGUGUCGAUUCUUGAAGAGGGAAGGUGAAUGCUUUUAAUUAACACCUCUCUUUUUUAUUCUUCUCUCAAUGUUCCUUUAAGAACCUGUAAUCCAUAUUGGAUCUGAGUUUGUCUAAGUGAACUAGUUCUAUCUCAUGCAUGAGUUUCAGUAAUCAGUAACACUUUUGGUAAGGAAAUAGAGGUAACCGCCAUUUGCCGAGACUCCGGAGUCCACUAGUAGUCCCUGGCGAGGUGUAAGCUUAGUUAUGGAUUUGCUUAUCGAUAUCCUAAGAGCAUCUCAAACAGAUGAUGAAAAAUUGGUGUCGUGAAAACAAUAUAGGGCAGAAGAGAGAGAGAAUUCAUCACCGCCACGGUUGCUGCUUUAACAGAUGUGGUAAAAGUGAUGCCCAAAAUUUUUGCCCUCCUCAGCCGCUGUUCUCCACUCCAACAUUGCAUACAUAAUUCAAACAAAAACCUGUGAUUACGGGGAAUUUGGCUACGGUCUCCCCUAAUCUCUCCGCUAAACCUCCCCUAAUCCCCCCCUAAAAUAUGGGGAAUUUAUGCUGCCUAGGCAUCAAGCUCUAUGAACCAAUCAAUAAUUUUGUGUAUGGUUUGGACCGAAACCAGUUUCUGUUGAAUUUGUACGAGCAUAUGGCGAUGUAGCUAUAAACUGUUGCAGUUUGGACCGAAGCGAGUUUCAGGAGAAUUAGCAACUUAAUAAUCUAGCACAAAGUACGUGCACAACAUGAACUGUUGCGGUUUGGUUAAGUUUCAGUUGACUGAGACCUAUUCACACCCUUUAAGUAUCCGGUUCUUUCUACCAACUUUCACCUGAGGACAUACAUAUUGAGGUAGAAGACAUACAUAGACGACGAGUUUGAGACCAUGGACUCUGUGGAAGCAGAUAGCCAUUAGUGUCACGGGCCUAUCAUAUUCUACGAGGCAGGCGUAUUACUUUGAAUUCAACAUUUCAGCACACUGAAAAUCAUUUUCAGCAUCAGUCGUCGCUGUGUCCAUGAGGUACCCUCCCCCUUACUACCUCUGUCCUGAUUUAUUGUCCCUUUUUGUAUUUUAUGUCAAACUUUGACCGUAAAUUUAAGUAACAAAAACUUAAUGCAUGUCAAAACAAAUUAUAUCGUUGAAUUCAUAUUUAAACAUAGUUUUCGAUAAUAUUACUUUUACUAUAUAUAAUAUAUAUUUAUUAGCUCAAAUCAUAGUCAAAAUAUGAACCUAAGUACGAGAAGGACUAAUAAACAAGGACGGGGGCACUACUUUCCUGCUUCCUUCCACGUGCAACGACUACGCUCUCUGCCUUGCCCCGCACGGCACGGUGCUUAAUUACCCAGCUAACGAGUCACACUGCGAAAGAUACUCCAGAUCCGAAAAAUGGUAUUCCUUGUCAACACACGUCCUUCUUCGUGUAGUUUCCACAGCCCGGCGUCUCCUCUUCACCGUCAAAGCAAUCACCCAUCCACAACGUCAAAAGGAGAGGCUUGGUCUGCUCCUUGCAAGUGUGACGAGGCGCCAUGCUUUCCGAGUCUGUGCUUGCGCUUGGUCUGCUCCUCCUGCUGAGCGUGAGCCUCGACGGAGAGGUGGCUCUGGCGGCGGAAGACGGCGAGUUCGCCUACCACGGCGAACCUUGCGCGGGAUGGCCUCGCCACCGUCACGCCCGGCGGCCUCCUCCGUGGCGAAGCCAGGAGUUCAAAGUUGUGAUGUCAAUUCAAAAUUAUGAUGUCAAGUAGUUGUAUUUAGAUUAAUUCUAUAUUAUUUUUGGGACGUUUUCUACUGAUUUGGCCUUAAUCCUGUGUAGUCAACGACUACCCAGAACACCCCUAGCACCGCCACUCUCACCAACUCGGAUCACCCGACGAAAGACCACGCCUUCCACCCUUCGCCGCUCCGCUUCCGCACAGGUUCCACGACGACGACGACGACGGUGAAAAACACCACCGCCAUGGCGCGGUCCUUCUCUACGUCCUUCGUCUUUGCCAUCAUGUCCAGCCACGGGCUUGCUUUCGUGGUAGCUCCGACCUCCAACCUCUCAACGGCGAACGGCCAGCAAUACCGGCCUCCUCAACGCGACAAACGGCACGGCGAGCGACCCCAUUUUGGCGGUCGAGCUCGACACCAUCAUGGACGCCAAGUUCCACGACGUCGACAGCAACCACGUGGGCAUCGACGUAAACAGCCUCAUCUCACGGCAGGCCAAGCGGGCUGGGUACUACCGCGACGAGGACGGCGCCUUUCAAGAUCUGAGGCUGAACAGCCGCAGGCCGAUGCAGGUGUGGGUUGACUACGACGCCAUGGCCAGGCGACUCGACGUACCAAAGCCCAAGAAUACUUUGCUCUCCCAAGUCAUUGAUCUCUCCACGGUCAUGGCGGACAAGAUGUACGUUGCCUUCUCGUCUUCGUCAGGAAUCGACUCCACGCACCACUAUGUCCUUGGAUGGAGCUUCAGCUUGGACGGGCCUGCCCCGCCUCUCGACUUCUCCAAACUCCCUGCUCUGCCACAUGUGGGUCCCAAGCCUCGGUCUAAGAUCUUGAACGUCGUGCUGCCACUGGCUUCGUCAUUGCUUGUCAUCGCAGUGCUAGGUGUUGUCUUCUUCAUUUUGUGGUAUCGACGCUGAUUUGCCGAGGUGAGAGAAGAUUGGGAGGAUGAGUUUGGCCCACAUUGUUUCCGAUACAAGGAUUUGUUUCAUGCCACCGAGGGGUUUUCAAGUAGGAAUUUACUUGGUGUAGGAGGAUUUGGAAGAGUGUACAGAGGAUUGCUUUCUCCGUCCAAUCUGGAGGUUGCGGUGAAGAGGGUGUCACAUGAUUCUAAACAAGGAAUAAGUGAGUUCAUUGCAGAGGUGGUGAGCAUUGGCCGUCUCCACCACCGGAAUCUCGCACGGUUACUAGGCUACUGCCAUCGAAAGGGUGAACUUCUCUUAGUUUAUGAGUACAUGGAAAAUGGUAGUCUUGACAGGUACUUGUACGAUAAAAAUAAGCCAACACUACACUGGCCUCAGAGGUAUAAGAUCAUCAAAGGUGUUGCAUCAAGUUUGUUGUAUCUUCAUGUGGAGUGGGAACAAAUCGUCAUCCAUCGAGAUAUAAAGGCGAGCAAUGUGCUCUUGGACGGUCAGAUGAAUGGACGGCUGGAUGAUUUUGGUCUAGCAAGGUUAUACGACCAUGGCACGGUUGCUAAAACAACACAUGUGGUGGGAACCAUGGGAUACCUUGCACCGGAACUUAUACGCACCGGGAAGGCAACACCCUUGACCGAUGUGUUCGCAUUUGGCGUGUUUCUCCUAGAGGUUGCAUGUGGGUGUAGACCAAUCAGCUGCAGGAAGGACAACACACAAACAAUGUUGAUUGAAUGGGUGCUUGAACAUCACCGCAAUGGAUUAGUUAUCGAUGUGGUAGAUCCACGGCUCAUGGGCAAUUUCAACAUAGAGGAAGCCACCCUCGUGCUCAACUUAGGAUUAUUGUGCUCCUACCCAUCACCAAGUGCAAGGCCUAGCAUGCGAAAGGUCGUGCAAUACCUGGACCGUGGUCAGUUAAUUCCUGACAUGUCUCCAACCUAUGUGAGUUACAACAUGAUAGCGAUGAUGCAUAACGAAGGGUCCGGUUCGUACAAAAUGGCAUGCACUUUGUCGAAUACUUAGCAUUUGCUCUGUAUCUGGUGAGUCUUCAGUGACCGUUCUACAAGAGGGGAGAUGAAUGCUUGCAAUUGAAUCUUCUCGUUUUAUUCUCCUUUAGCUAUUUUCAAGCGCUUAUAAUCAAACCGUGACAUGAGUUUCCCUUUUAAUAUCAUGUGAUCCGAGUAUGCUGGUGGAAGCUCUUUUACUUGUGUAUGUAUGAAACCAUGUUUUCAUAGUGAAAUAAUUAUGUCUCGAGCAUCAAUUUUAGUAACCAGUAACACUACGGAUGUAAAGUAAUCAAUUGUACUCCCUUCAUUUCAUAUUAAUUGUUGCCGAUUUAAUACAACUUUGUACUAAAUCAACGACAAUUAACAUGGAUCGAAGGGAGUAUCAAUCUCUAGUGCUGGUGCUUUGUUGCUACUAGACUUGCACAUUUCCAUAGUGGGCCAAAGAGGCCCCUCAGUGCACGACUAUAUGACAUGUCAAUUGGCACCUUGGGUCAGGACAGAGCAUCAGCUGUCGGCACAGAAUACAUCCCAAGGGAGCACGCGGCGGUACAUAGGGUGAGGGUACAUGGUCGCAUUGUUGUAGGUCUGGACAGGAAGUUCGGGAUCGAGGUUUGGUUGGGUUCGACUCGGGUCGAAGGUCCAACAAGCCAAGUCCAAACCUUCAGUCAAGCUCGUGAAGCUCGACAAGCCGGCUAGAGACUUGAUGAACAAAAAAUCCGCACGGCCUUUGCUAAAAAAAUAGCAAUAUACUUUCUCCGUUCACUAUUAUAAGAUGUUCUAACUUUUUUCUGAUUUGGAUGUAUAUAGACGCAAUUUUAUGUGUUUGUUCACUCAUUUUGGUCCGUAUGUAGUCCAUAUUAAAAUACCGAAAAUAUCUUACACUAUUUGUGAAGAGUAUUAAUUAAGACCAAUAGUUCACAAUUAUAUAACAUGAUAUAGACAUUGCACCCACUCAUAACAUAGUCUAUCAAGUAGACAUAAAGUCCCAGCGAAACUAGUAAGACUACUCGAUGCAUUAUUGUCCGUCAAUUGAACAGGUCUAAAUGUGGACAAAUUUGAACAUGUGCGAGGACCCGCAGUCCGGCACAUGUAGUAGUACGUAGCAAUCUUUACAGUUGUGAUUUAGCUUAGUUCUCGUCCCAAAGCGCAGGCGCAGGCACCACGUGUACAAUUUUCCUUACAGACAUAUGCAGAGGAUGAUGGAUCAUGGAUGCUCAGAGGAAGACAAAUCAGCAAUGUUCCUAAUGUCCCAUCCCCGGCCCGAAGCAAGCGGUGAAUAAAUUUACAAGUACUCACUGAAGCAAACAUUCACAUGGCGGUACCAAACUAUAACUGUGACGCCAACCAACUAGUGAAAAAAGAAGUCAUUUUGCAUCGAAGGGUCGAUCGGAAUCAAAGAGUUGAUGAGACACUGUCAUGGCUGGUCCGGGAUGAACUAGAUAUGCGACAGUACUGUCAGAGAUGCCCAAGAAGUCCAUGGAUAUCUCAUUCAGACAUGCUUAUUUUCCUGCCUUCUUCCACGUGCAAUGACAAAUUAACGUUCUUGCACAGCUUACCCAGCCAACGAGUGACUAGACUACUGCGAAAGAUACUCUACUCGCAAAAAGAAAGCAGCGCUACUCACUGCAAGGCUCGGAUUGUUACUUGCCGGACACGCCCGUUAUCCCGUGUAGUUUUCUGCCCGGCGUCUUGCUUGUAUGAGCUUGGAGCUAUGUGCGAGUCCGAGUCUUCGUGAGAUAUUUUGCUUGCUUGAGCUGUGAGCUGUGUGUGGGUGCCUCGCAGCUUCCUGUGAGCAAGCUCCUAAUGCAGGCCUGGGUGGUGUGUGGUUUGCUUCAUUCGUUCACGGUCUACCUAGAGUUCCCAGCCGCUGAAUCUUUGCUCUAUAUAAAUGUGGAGAAGGAAGCGCUGCGCAAGCUUGUCAAGGAACCAUGCAGUCUCUGCUAGCCCUUGGUCUGCUCCUGCUGCUGAGGCUCGAUGGAGGUGUGGCCGUGGCGGCGGAAGACGGCCGGUUCGCCUACCAAGGCUUCGCCGCCGCGAACCUCACGCUAGACGGCGUCGCCGCCGUCACGCCCAACGGCCUCCUGCUGCUCACCGACACGGAGUACCAGACAACAGGCCAUGCCUUCCACCCUGCACCACUCCGCUUCCUCGAGAGCUCCACCACGACGACGAACAGCGCCGCCGCCAUGGCGCGGUCCUUCUCCGUGUCCUUCGUGUUCGCCAUUAGGUCCAGAUACGACGGCCUGACCAGCUACGGGCUUGCGUUCGUCGUCGCGCCGACCUCCAACCUCUCAGCUGCCGAGAGUGGGCGGUACCUGGGCCUCCUCAACGGGACAAAUGGCACGGCGAGCGAUCCCAUCUUGGCGGUCGAGCUCGACACCAUCAUGGACGUCGAGUUCCGCGACAUCAACAGCAACCACGUCGGCAUCGACGUCAACAGCCUCAUCUCACGCCAGGCCAAGCAGGCUGGGUACUACAGCGACGAGAACGGCGCCUUUCAAGAGCUGAGGCUGAACAGCCGCCAACCGAUGCAGGUCAUGGUUUUCACUUUCACUGUAAUUUCAUCAUGUCAGCAGUUAUAGCAGUACACAUAAAUUCAAAUUAUUUUCAAACUAACCUUUUGGAUUUGAAAAAUAUUUGGUUGGAUCUCAAUCAAAUUCAAGUGAAAAUUUCCGUCCUCUGUCCGAAAUAAAAACCUAAAUCACUGAUUUCAGAUAUGGCUUAAAUAUUUCUAAAACUGAAAUUCAAAACCAUGUGCAGGUGUGGGUAGACUAUGAUGCACAGGUCAGACGACUCAAUGUGACUUUAGCGCCCGUGCAGCUACCAAAGCCCAAGAUUCCUCUACUCUCCGAACUCAUUGAUCUCUCCUUAAUCAUGGCGGACAAGAUGUAUGUCGGCUUUUCGGCUUCCGGAGGUUGGGGCGUAGGUACGCACCACUAUGUCCUUGGAUGGAGCUUCAGCUUGGACGGACCUGCCCCGCCGCUAGACUUCUCCAAGCUUCCUGUCCUACCACGCCUGGGUCCCAAGCCUCAGUCGAAGAUCUUGGAUGUCGUGUUGCCACUAGCCGCGACAUUGCUUGUCAUUGCAAUGCUAGCUGCCAUCUUCUUCUUCUUGUGGCAUCGGCGUCGAUUUGCUGAGGUUCGAGAAGAUUGGGAGGACGAGUUCGGCCCACACCGUUUCGCGUACAAGGAUCUAUUUCAUGCCACUGAGGGGUUUUCCGGUAUGAAUUUACUUGGUGUGGGAGGAUUUGGAAGAGUGUAUAGAGGAGUGCUUUAUGCGUCCAAUUUGGAGGUUGCGGUGAAGAGAGUGUCACAUGAUUCAAAACAAGGAAUAAGGGAGUUCAUCGCAGAGGUGGUGAGCAUUGGUCGUCUCCGCCACCGUAAUCUCGCUCAGUUACUAGGCUACUGUCGGCGAAAGGGUGAACUUCUAUUGGUUUAUGAGUACAUGGAAAAUGGUAGUCUUGACAAGUACUUGUACAAUAAAAAUAAGCCAGCUCUACAUUUAUCCGAGAGGUAUCGGAUCAUCAGAGAUGUUGCAUCAAGUUUGUUGUAUCUUCAUGAGGAAUGGGAGCAAAUCGUCAUCCAUCGAGAUAUAAAGGCUAGUAAUGUGCUCUUGGACAGUCGAAUGAUUGGACGGCUUGGUGAUUUUGGUCUAGCAAGGUUAUAUGACCAUGGGACGGUUACUACAACAACACAUGUGGUGGGCACCAUGGGGUACCUUGCACCAGAACUUAUACGCACAGGAAAGGCAACACCCUUAACCGACGUGUUCGCAUUUGGCGUGUUUCUCUUAGAGGUCGCCUGUGGGCGUAGGCCAAUUGGAAGUAGCAAGGACAUCACACAAGUAGUGUUGGUUGACUGGGUGCUUGAACAUCACCGCAGUGGCUCAAUUCUCGAUGCGGUGGAUCCAUGUCUCAUGGGGAAUUUUAACACAGAGGAAGCCAGCAUCCUUCUCAAAUUAGGUUUAUUAUGUGCCUACCCAUCGCCCACUGGAAGGCCUAGCAUGCGGAAGGUCAUGCAAUACCUAGACCGUGACCAGUCAAUUCCUGACCUAUCUCCAACAUACGCGAGUUACAGCACGAUAGCAAUGAUGCAGAAUGAGGGGUUCGAUUCGUACAUAAUGUCGUGUCCUCCGUCGAACACGAGUAUCAGCAUUGUACCUGUCGAGUCUUCAGUGGAGAUUCCGCAAGAGGGGAGGUGAAAGCUUGUAACUGAAUCCUCUCUUUUAUUCUUCUCGCAAUGUUCCUGUAAGUGCCAUGUUUGAUCUGCGUUUGUCCAAGUAUCCCAAGGGGAGAUCCUUUGCUAUUGUAUGACACCGAGUUUUCAUAGUGAAAAUUCUCCUCGUGCAUGAAUUUCAGUAGUCCGUAACACUUUUGGUAAGGAAAAAUAGUGGUAACCGCCAUUUCCAGGUGAUCUUUAGCCAAUAUACGUUGCGUUUUUAAGCAAUUAGGUUGAUAUUUAAGCCAAUAUAUAAACGGAAUCGACAAAAUCAACCAUGGAGAAUUAACAACUUCAUCCAGCACGGAGUAUGGGCGCAACAUAUAACUAGCAGCAAGCCCAUUGCCAGCAGCAGUACCAACAAGAACAAGUUGCUUCCUUCCAUCGGUAGCAGCAGCAAGGAGGAAAUGCAGCAGAAUGUCAAGCAAAAUCCCACCGUUAGGUAAAUAAAAGUGCUUGUACACGACUGACUACCCUCAACUUAGGAGGGUCUUGUGAGUUGUGACUCUUGUACCACUUGCGCCACUCACCACAUUUCAAGAACAAGUACCAAGUUUGAGUGCCCCCGUGAUGGCUGCAAGCCUGUAAGUAUAAUCCCUGACCAUACAAGCUGAAUAAACCCCAAUCUUGGCUGACCAACCAAAUCAAUCAAGCUGUUGCUACUAUGCUUCUUUUCUCACUUGAACAUGGAGACGUCGAAGACGCGUGCUGAUUUAUCAGUGGAGACCGAGACUAUGGAGUUGCCGUCGGCAGAGACAGCCAGCGACUGCACGACGUCCCUGUGCCCGCUGAAGGUGUGAGCCAAGUCCCCGGAGAGGCUGUCCCAGAUGCGCACCAUGCCGUCGAUGCACCCCGACGCCACAUACCUCGACGAACCCAGCCACGCCAGGCAUGUCACGCCUUCCUGCUUGUCAAACACCACCAAUAACGGUAAGUUCACAGAAACAUGGAGAUAUUAUAAAGCAAAAAUGUAGAUUGAUUUCUACACUCACAUCAUGCUCGCAAGUAGAUCGAAUUGCUUGACGGGCGAGGUCCCAGAUAAUCAGAGUUCUAUCAAUGCUCCCUGUAGCCACCCAGUUGUACCUGCAGAUAACAGGGGCACCAGCUAGCUUAGGUCAAUAGCAAGGCAAUGUGCAUUGUGCAACAGAUUUACCAUACAGACUCCAACGAUCCAAGGACAUAUCACCAAACAGUACCUCGAUGAGAUGCCAAUGCACUCGAUGGAAUUGGUGUGGCCAACUAAUGAACCAACAACCUGCAGAACAACCGACACUUCUUACACAAAGAUCCACCAGCACAUAUUUCUAAAAGCUCAAGAACUACCAACAGAGUACAAGUAAAUUUCCUAAGAAAACAAAACCAGGAGUUUAUCUUAGGAACAAAAACCCUACAGAAGUUGCUACAACCAAAACAAGGUAAUCAGUAAUCAAAAUAUUCUUACAUAAUCUACCAUACAAAACAAACCAAUAGUCAGAACCACAAGUUGCAUCAAGUAAGCCAACUUGCAUUAGAAGAUUUAUCAACCUUUUUUCUGUUUGAAGGGAGAAAGACUAUGGAAAGAAAAGGAAACACUUGAACCAUAAAAUGCACCCACCUGGCCUGAGUUUAUGCUCACAAUGUGCACAGAAUUAUCCUCCGAGCCACUAACAAUUGAUUGGGAGUCCGGAGUAAUGGCUAAGCAUGUCAAUCCUUGAGUAUGAUAGCCAUGACCUAGAAUAAGGUAAAGGAUUGGAUGGUAAAGUUCAGGGUUGACAGAGAACGUACAGAAACAACCAUAUGAAUAUAUGAUAAUUACAACAUAGAAAAUUAUUUACCCCGAACAACAUGUCUGCAUUGUGCGCUUUUGGGUUCCCAUAUCCUCAAUGUUGCAUCAUCAGAUCCACUACAUAUAAGCUUACCUUCAUAAUGAAACACGUGAAUUAGCUAAAAAUGAAUAUACUACAUCGGAGAUAUGAACUUCUAAAGUAAGCAAGUAAAAAUGAACUAAAAUGUUAAAGCAUCAUACAGGUCAUUCUGUUAUUUGCCCUUGCUAUUUUUUUUAUCAUCACUUCUAGUUCAACAGAAAUUAGCUUAGAACACAACUUAGCAGAAGAAAUGUUAAAUACCCCAUGAUCCAUAUGUUUCUCUGAAGUUUGAACUGAUAUGAAGAAGCUCUGUGUUGAUAACUAAAAACAGAUUGUCACAAACAAGGGUACAUUUUCAUGCCGGGGCAUUCCAGAAGCAGGACAAAUAAAGUCCAGAUUUGGGUGGUAUAUUAAACCUUAUUCAGAGGUUGCUUAACAACAUUAACAAUGCAUGAUAUAAAUAAAACUGGAAGAAAUUGCUCAGUACCAUCAGGGGUAAAAUCACCACAUGUCACUGUGCUACUGUGACCAGCAAACGUAUUCAGAAAGGCAUUGUGGUCAGCAUUCCACAUCCAUACGUUACAGUCUUCUGAUCCUGCAAUUAUCAAAUUACCACGUGGAUGCCAUCUGAGCCACUACAAAACAAAAGACAUAUAGUUACACCGCGUAACUAAUCAUCGAUUACCGCAAUGGAAACGGCUAUGGAUAUAUAGUCAGCCAAAUGAAAUAGACCAGGAUCAUCUCACCUCAAAGCCUGAUCCUGAGGAACCCUCGAGGGUUCCCUGAAGUGUCCGUGUAGCUGUAUUCCAUACAUUUAUCUGUCCAUCCAUACUUCCACAAGCCACCAAUUUCCCAUCUGAACUAAAAGCCACAGUGCACACCGUGUCUCCAUGUCCUGUAUCGGCAAUAGGUAUUGUAAGCUUGGUAGACAAUUCUAGGCAUAUACUGACACAUUAAGGUACAUAUCGAUGCGAAGUAAACAGAAAAAUAAAGCUUUGCCGCAAAAAAAUCAUGAAAAGAUUGCUAAGAGAUAUCAAAUAUACUUUUGUAUUUAUAUAGAUAUCAGAAAUAGAAACAGGCAUUUUAAGCGCAGUGAUAGGUGAUGAAGCAUAGAGAAAGUUCCAAGAAACGUUUGCACAGAAAAAUCAAGUACGGAAACCUCACUAGACUACUGAAGAUGAGCUAACCGUACCAGUCAGCUCCUGAAAAUCCUGUGCAGAUCCAAUCCUCCAAAGAAACCCUCUGUCAUCUUUACCUCCAGACACAACAAGUGAUGCAUCUGUAGGACUGCACGCAGCAGCAAAGACCUCAUCUGUAUACAAGAUAUGAAGACCAACUAUUACCAGAAUUGUUUUUCAGUGCACGCGUACUCUGCAUGGUGAAUCUAACUAACUUAUAGUGGAAAGCAACGAAUCAUCACAAGAUGUAGUAAGUUAAUUUGCUCGAUGAGGUCUUGCCUGUAUGCCCAUGAAAUGCAUAAGUUGAAUGAUCCUCCACCUCAUCUGAAACAACAAAGAACAAAAUGAAACUUGAAUUACUAGCACAUUUUGAAUUACUGGCACAUUUAAAUCUCACAGUGCAAGUAUUUCAGAUUAUUCGGAGUGAGCUUAAUGUAAAGUAAGCAAAUAACUAGUAGCAUGGCACCAACGUUUAUCAAAAUGAAAAUGUGAGGUACUCCUGGAAGAAGAGUCAUGGCUGAGCUCACUUACAAAAAGAUUUAGUGAAAAGGACAUAUCCUUUCGUCAUUGCUAAAAGACAUUAUCUUAUUCCAGUAAGAACAAACGCAAUCGAAAUAUGUUAGCCUUGUGAACAGUAUGACAAUACUAAACCAGGUGAAUCCUGAAUAAGAUACUACAGAGGGUGAAGUUUGGUACGGUGUAUAAUUUUCUAGGCCAGAAGUAGCAGGGAAAUAGUCUAAUUAAUAUCAUUGUUUUGUGGAGGAUCAAAACCCCAUGACCCAUGAGCGAAGGCUAACAAUUGGGCUAGCACGCCCUGAACAUAACCAGUCCUAGCAAGUUCAACGGUAGACAGAAACGCCAGUAUCAGCUGCCACAUACCCAUCUCUUGGUCUUCCUCAUCGUCAUCAUCAUCGUCAUGGUCGGGGAGAUCUGAACAAGGACAGCAGUAAGCACAGAGCAAGCAAAAGGGAGGAAGAGCCUGCUAGCCGCUAGGCAGGAUGAGGAGAAUUGCUGACCUUCCUCGUCGAGGUGUAUCUCCUGGAUGAUGUCCUGCUCGUCGAUGAAGACCUCCUCGCCGUCAGAGCCUUCGUCGGGGACCUCGCCUGAGAUACUCAUGGCCGCCGGUGGUGCCGCGGGCGUCUUGGCUGCUGCGAGCGUGGCCGGAGAGAACGGUAGCGGGUCCUCACUUCCUGCCGCGCUUCUCUGCGGCGCGGAGGCGUUCGAGAUUAAGAGGGUGUUCGGUUGGGCUGCGUAAACAGAUGAAAACAUUCGUGUAAACAGAUGCAUGCUGCUCAACAUCUCACUCACAUACACAAGCACGUACGACGACAUGAAUCAAUUCAUAUGCAUAAACAUGGCACCCAUCAGCAAUUGCAUCUAAACAUACACAGCGAUGGCGUCAAUUCAUAAACACCACAAGCAAACAUCUUAUCAAUUUCUUCUUCUAUAUACACAAGCAAGCAUCCAUAUCAAGCGAAACAUGGCAUCAGUUCAUGUAAAGAAAUUUUUUUUUUAAAAAAGAGAAAGAUGGAGAUUACCUUGCUGCGUGGUGCAGAGGAGGAGCGAGGAGGUGUUGCAGAGCUCAAAUCUGUCGUCGCCGUAGGACAGGAGGUCGGUAGCCGGACCCGCUGUAGGCCGAUACGUUGCGAGGAGGAGCCGACGGCGAGAUAGGGGGGCGCGGGUGGAGGUGCGGGGAGAGGGGCGAUAGGACGGCGGUGGCCGGAAUCAAGCGACGGAGACGUGCGGGUGGCUGCGGGUCGUUGGUGGGUGGCGAGGGGGUGAGCGGCGGCAGGCCGGUGAGAGGGGGAGAGAGGAAGUGGAGGAGGAUGGAGGGGAAGAUAUGUCGCGUGGCCGCGUGGGGAUGGAGGCGUGUGCGUGUGCUGUGACGAGGAGGAGGAGAGGAGGGCGGCGGCGGCUGUCUAGGGACAGGGAGGGAGUUCGUAUUCUUUUUGCUCUGGACGAAGAAUCGCACGUCGCGAUCGCCCUAGCUCUGCUGGACCGGCCCACGGGUACUUUCAGCUAAACCCUGUUUUUGCUCCUGCGUGAAAAAGGCCCGUAUAAGCCCGUUAGCGUGAAAGCAUUGCUCUGUGGAAUACGGAAUUUUUUCUUCCUAUACUUGUCUAAAAAAAAGUUUUUUCUUCCUACGGUAGCUUUGUAGAGAGUAUGUUUCUUCUUCUUUUUUGUGGCUGGAAGAAGAAAUGCCUGGCGAACAGAUUUUUUCCAGUUCAGCAUUCCUUGUGUUGAAGCCUGUGUGCCUUUAUUGUUCUUUGUUGAGUUAUCCCGGGUCAAGCUUCAACCUGUUGCCCUUGUUCACUAAUUUGGGAUCUCAGAUUGGUGGAUCUCUGGAAAAUGAACAAUUGCUACACUCCUUUGCCUGACUUCUGCUGCUCCACAAGUCUUGAUUGUAUUAUUUCUUUGGCUUCGUCCAUGAACUUCACACUGUUAGGGUCUGUACUACAAGCAUCCCGGACCUCUUUGAUUCGUAGGAUUCUCAAAACGCAAGAAUAGAAGAAAAAUGAUUGGAGCGCCAUGCCCACUUGAAUCUCAUAGAAAUUAGCACAGCGUGUUUGAUGCCACAGAAAAACAAAGGAAGUGAAAAAAAAAGAUUGGAGUGGAUGCUAGAUUUCUAGUAAAAUCUAGUACACAUGAUUUCACAGGAAAAAUUCUUAUAUGAUUCAAUCCUAUGAAUCAAACGACCAAUGUAGGAAAAAACCCUAAAGAUUCUAACCCUUCAAAAAUUCCAUGGAAUUCCUUUGAAUCAAAGAAGCCCUAAGAAACCGCUUUUCCCCGAUAAAGGUAUUAGGAGAGUUGUGCUUAAAACUAUUUCAACAGAAUCCUUCUCUCCUAAAAAAAGUAUUGGAACGUCACAAUAAUUCACCUCAAAACCACAAUAUCUGGGAAAAUACACACAUAUAUUAACCCUUAUGAACGAAUACAUGCACACUUUAUCAUAUGAUCACCUCCAAAAAACUAAGUUGACAACUCUUUAAAUACACGAAGUCGUCUCAUGCGCCUUCUAGUCAGUGGGAAUGUCGUGUCCUACUAAAUGGACAUCGCGGAAAAACAUAUAAUAAAUCUAAGGAAACACGAGCACCCAUCUCAAGUUUAGGACAAUAUUUUCACCUUGUAAACUGUUUUUAUCCAACUUGAUACCUUGGCAGCCAUUGACACUAUGCAGUUGAGGGGGCUCUCUGGACUUAUUGAGCGGACAUCUCUGAAGGUUGCAGGAUGACAUCAUCUGUACGAAGGAAUGCUACAUUUGAACAUUGCAAAUGAAAGCCGGUACAACAAAAAGAAAUAGAAGGUGAGCAAGCACCAGCAAAGGAGACAUCCCAAAAGUGGAAGGCGCCACCAGCGGGAGUCCUAAAAAAAUACUGAUGGGGCCUUCAUUGAAGCAAACAAUCUGCAAGUAAAAAAACAGCGAGUCAAAAAAGAAGCAAACAAUCCGGUGAAUGGGGCUUCACCCUCAAGAAUGACCUGGGCGUGCUACUGGCAACAGGAUCAGGUAACCUGGAGCAUGUUUCAAACCCAUUAUAUGCUGAACUUUUAUCUUUUCAACAAGUUGUGCAUACUGCUAUUCAAAAGGGUUGUCAAAAAGGGAUGUUUGAAACAGAUUGCAUGGUGCUGAUGCAAGCUAUAUUGUUAGUGAUGAAUAUGACCUGUCAAUUCUAGGCACUUUGUUUUAGGAGGUUAAAUUUCUUAUACAUGCGGUCUCACAUGAUGUAUCAAUCGUGAACUAUAAGUGUGAAUGUAAUAUAGCAGCUCGCACUUUUAGCAACCCAGGGCGUGUAUAUGGAAGGUUGUCCUGAAAAUUGGCUAGCCCAAUUUCCCAAGUUUGUAUCAGGUAUUGUUUUUGGUGAUAUAUCCAGCGUUUUACUAUAUUAAUGGAAUGCAUUGUGUUCUUUAAAAAAAUGGAAGCCAGUAGAGUGGCCAAGAGCUAGCUAGGCAUAGCUUUUCAAAUCGUCUAGAUUUUCAGUGGGAUCUUGAUCCCCGGAUAUCUUGUGACGUACUUUAAAACAUGUAAUAAUCGAGUUGGGCAAACAAAAUGUGAUAAUGGCGUCAUCUCCCCUAAUACGACCUCCGGUCCAAACAACUAGGGACAACUAACAAAAUGCGGGAAUGGCAUAAAUGUUAACUGAAGGAAAUAUGCCCUAGAGGCAAAAAUAAAGUUAUUAUUUAUAUUUCCUUAUAUCAUGAUAAAUGUUUAUUAUUCAUGCUAGAAUUGUAUUAACCGGAAACUUGAUACAUGUGUGAAUACAUAGACAAAACAAAGUGUCCCUAGUAUGCCUCUACUAGACUAGCUCGUUAAUCAAAGAUGGUUGAGUUUCCUGACCAUAGACAUGUGUUGUCAUUUGAUGAACGGGAUCACAUCAUUAGAGAAUGAUGUGAUGGACAAGAUCCAUCCGUUAGCUUAGCAUAAUGAUCGUAUAGUUUUAUUGCUAAUGCUUUCGUCAUGACUUAUACAUGUUCCUCUGACUAUGAGAUUAUGCAACUCCCGAAUACCGGAGGAACACCUUGUGUGCUAUCAAACGUCACAACAUAACUGGGUGAUUAUAAAGAUGCUCUACAGGUGUCUUCGAUGGUGUUUGUUGAGUUGGCAUAGAUCGAGAUUAGGAUUUGUCACUCCGUGUAUCGGAGAGGUAUCUCUGGGCCCACCGGUAAUGAUCAUCACUAUAAGCCUUGCAAGCAAUGUGACUAAUGAGUUAGUUACGGGAUGAUGCAUUACGGAACGAGUAAAGAGACUUGCCGGUAACGAGAUUGAACUAGGUAUGAUGAUACCGACGAUCGAAUCUUGGGCAAGUAACAUACCGAUGACAAAGGGAACAACGUAUGUUGUUAUGCGGUUUGACCGAUAAAGAUCUUCGUAGAAUAUGUAGGAGCCAAUAUGAGCAUCCAGGUUCCACUGUUGGUUAUUGACCGGAGAUGUGUCUCGGUCAUAUCUACAUAGUUCUCGAACCCGUAGGGUCCGCACGCUUUACUUUUGAUGACGAUUUGUAUUAUAUGAGUUAUGUGAUUUGGUGACCGAAUAUUGUUCGGAGUCCCGUAUGAGAUCACAGACAUGACGAGGAGUCUUGAAAUGGUCGAGAGGUAAAGAUUCAUAUAUAGGACGAUAGUAUUCGGACACCGGAAGUGUUCUGGGGGUACCGGGUACGUAUCGGGUCACCGGAAGGGGUUCCGGGCACCCCUCCCCCCCGGGCAAAGAUAUGGGCUUAUUGGGCCAAGGGCGGGACAGACCAGCCCCUAGUGGGCUGGUGCGCCCCAUAUAUGCCAAAUAGGAGGAGAAGGAAGGAGGGGAAGAGAGAAAGGAAAGAGGAGGAUUCGGCCUCCCCUUCCCUUCUCUCCCCCCUCUCUUUCCUUCCCCCUCCAACACUUUUGGAAGGGGGGAGGCCGAAUUGGACAAGGUCCGAAGUAGGAUUCCUCCUACUUGGGCGCGCCCUUGCUGCUCCCCUCCCCCUCCCAUCUAUAUAUACGUAGGGAGGGGGAGCCUAGAAAACACAACAAAGAUUGUUAGCCGUGUGUGUCGGUGUCAAAACCGGCGGAUCUCGGGUAGCGGGUCCCGAAAUGUGCGUCUAAGGUCGAUGGUAACAGGAGACAAGGGACACGAUGUUUACCCAGGUUCGGGCCCUCUCUAUGGAGGUAAUACCCUACUUCCUGCUUGAUUGAUCUUGAUGAACAUGAGUAUUACAAGAGUUGAUCUACCACGAGAUCGUAAUGGCUAAACCCUAGAAGUCUAGCCUAUAUGACUAUGGUAAUGAGUAUAUCCCUUCUGGACUACACCCUCCGGUUUAUAUAGACACUGGGGGGAUCUAGGGUUACACAGAGUCGGUUACAUAGGAAGGAAUCUUCAUAGUUGAUCGCCAAGCUUGCCUUCCACGCCAAGGAGAGUCCUAUCCGAACACGGGUACAGUCUUCGGCCUUCGUGUCUUCACAGCCCAUCAGUCCGGCCCAUGGAUAACAGGCCGGACGCCCGAGCACCCCUUAGUCCAGGACUCUCUCAGUAGCCCCUGAACCUGGCUUCGAUGAUGAGGAGUCCGGCGCGCAGAUUGUCUUCGGCAUUGCAAGGCGGGUUCCCUUCUUUCCGAACUCCAAGAUAAUCUCCGGACGCGAUGAUAGUAUCCGGACCUGUCACACACACCAUACACAACCGCAGAGAGAAUAUAAUUUUAUACGAGUCCAAUCCGUUGACAACUUUUUGUAGCACGACAUUACGUCUGACCGGUCAUAAUUCCGAACCGUUUUGUGUCCGCCGCUCCACGUUCCGAGACACGGUUGCCAUUGGCACGUCUUGUCAAAGCAGAGAUCGUGUCCCCUUAUUACAGGAUUCUCGUCAAUACGGGUAUGGGUAACCCAACCAUGCCGUUUACACAGCCCUUGGUAAUAGGCGAGUUCUAAGGCGAGUGGGGAGGCGUUCAAUAUUCACUGCCUUUAUAAGGGGAUAAGGAUUCCCCCUUCCUCUCCCACGCCUUCUCUCUUUCUCCGCCCUUCCAAUCUCGAGCUCCAGCGCCCAAGUUCUCAUCUCCUUUCCACUCGAUCUAGCACUCAACCAUGUCCGGAUCCGGAGGUCAGGGCAAGUGGAUGGUCUCCUCCGUCAAGGAGGAGGACAUUACUGGGCUUCGGGCGGCCGGAUAUUUGGCGAAGGAAAUCACCCACCGUCUGCCGGCCGAGAGACAAGUCGUCCCCACGCUGAAGCCCAACGAGAGGGUGGUAUUCAUCCCUCAUUUAUUUUGCGGGCUAGGGUUCCCACUCCACCCUUUCGUCCGCGGGCUGAUGUAUUAUUACGGGAUAGAUUUCCACGAUCUGUCCCCGAACUCCUUCCUCAACAUCUCGGCGUUUAUCGUCGUGUGUGAGGCCUUCCUCCGCAUCCAACCCCACUUCGAGUUGUGGCUCAAAGUCUUCAACGUGAAGCCGAAGAUGGUGGAUGGCCAGCACGCGGAGUGCGGAGGAGCCAUGGUGAGUAAGCUGUCCAACGUCUCCUGGCCGAAAGGCACUUUUGUGGAUACAAUAAAGGAGUGGCAGAAACAGUGGUUCUACAUCACAGAACCCUGCGGCACCACCUAGGUCGCAGCUGCCAAAUUCCGCUCUGGCGCUCCCGUGCGACUCACCUCCUGGGUCGAGAAGAGUCUGAACUGGUGUUCACCCGAUGAGCUGAUAGCGCUGCAGACGCGCGUUCAAAGCAUGAUAGGCAAGAACGUCAAGCUUGUCGAUGUAAUCCAGGUGAUGCUAGUUCGCCGGAUUCUCCCGUGCCAGCACCGAAGCCGCCCUCUGUGGGAGUUCAAUCCGAAAAAGCACCAGACCCUGGUGAGGCUCUUCGAAACCACUCACGAAGGUGCCUGGAAGUUGCUCUUUAAGGGCAACGAGAAACCGCCGGCCACAGAUUCAGACCGUGGGCACGACAUUAAACACCUCGCCAGCGAGGUAUGUAAUUUUUAACGUAUCCCCUACUUGUUUGUUUCGAGGAUAAUGUCUGAGCUUUUACAAUUGCUUCUUCAGGACUAGAUGGAGAGGGCGAAGCUGAUCAAGUGUCCGGCUCCGCUGCCUGAAGAACCAGUCAUCCCGCAUUUAGCGAAGAUGCUGGUGCCGGUGCCCUAUAAAGCGCUGGAGAAGAAGGCCAAGGGGGCCAAAAGAGACCCCCGCCGCAAGGGUACUUCGGACGUGACGUCCGGAGACGAAGAGACCCCUUCCUCCGUUCCUGAGGAGGACGACGACGAGGAAGAGGAGGAGGAGGAGAACAACCCUCCCCCUGAGGAGGGAAAGAAGAAGAGGGCGGCUUCCGCGCAUCUGGAGGCGGAAACGCCCAAGAAGGGGAAGGGCACCCCAGCGGUCAACACCGUGUGGGACGUCGACAGCAGUCCAGAACGACGCCCCCGUACUAAGCCCCGGGCCGCAUCGUAAGUACCAUGACUCACAUAUACCAGUAUAUCCGGCUUUUCCUCUUUAUCUUGUUGAAGUGGUUAAUUGUGCUAUUGCAGUCCGGCUCGCGGCAGCAUCCAGCGAUCCUCAUCUGGAGGUUCGUGGAUCAGGCGGAAAUGGCCAGCGUGUCACCACCGACCGCUCACUCCCCCGAUGCCAAGGAUGACACCGAAGUGUUGUCUUGGAGGACCGCUCCGAGCCAGGGAGAGGCCCAGGACGCUGUCCAGGAGGCGCCACAAGGCGAGACCUCCGCUACCGGACACAUGGGGGAGCGAAUCCCCAUGGAGACUGGCGAGGAGGGCCGUAUUCAGUUCGGCCCUCAGCCGAAUACGAUUCCGGAGACCAAUACGGCUCCAGAAUCCGGUGAGCAGCCUCCUUCGAAGGAGGGGGGUGCGCCAAUUCCACCGGUGGUCCCUGUCCAACCAGGGGCACCGGAUAACCUGAUGGAGGUGCUACAAGGCGCCUCCAUUGUGGACGAGCACCGUGUCCUUAUGGGGACGGUGAUCGAGAAGGUUCAGUCUGCCAAGAGCGGUCUAAACGAAGCCUGCAACAACCUGUUGACAGGUUUUGAGGUAAGCAACAUACAAAGAGAAAAAACCCAUGCAGACAGUAGCCCCUGAGACACUGUCCGGUGUUCGGAAAGAAAGACCGGACGGAGGAUCAAUCCUUUGUUGUGGGAGACUAACUUAAUAUGUAUGAAUAAGCAAGCGUCGCUGUUGGCCGCGACCUCGCAUGCUGCCAAAGUCUCUGAACUGAAGCAAAGGCUGGAGCGGACCGAGAACGAGCUCGGCGAGGUGAAGAUUCAGCUCUAGGAGAAACAACGUAUGUAACGACUUGUUGUGUAUUCGGGAAGAAUAAAUGGUGUAUAUUGACCGUAGUGUCUUAAUAUGUGUAGGAGCAGCGACCGAGGUCGAGGCCCUGAAAAAGGCCCUGGCCGAAGCCAAGGGGAAGGCUGUCCAGCAGCAAGCCGCCCGUAAGAAGCUCAAGGCCCGGGUCAACAAGGUCCAGCAGGAGCUCCAGGACGCGGUGAAGAAGUGCAAAGCCUUGGAGCGCGAGGCGUCGGUUCAAGAGACCGAACUUACCAAGGCUCGCCAGAGCGCGGAGGCCGCACGGAAUGAGGCCCAGGACGCUCUCCAGGAGAUCCAGGAGGCCAAGAAGAUCGCAGCGGGUAAGGCUUUUAACAUGCAAAGCAAGUAUGCGGAGAGGAAGUACCUUUUACUAACCCGGAUUCGGAGUUGCCCAGGGACUUUUGCGGAUCUACCACGUAGCGUGUCCGAUGCUGCGGAGUUCUUCCGAGCCAAAGAAGGGAAUUCCACGGAGAAGCUGUUCUGGUCGCAGUAUGCUGCGCCAGAACAUCCGGUGCCCUUUGCCGAUCAGCUGAAACAGCUGGUCGAGCUGCACAGGGUGGCCGAACUGGCCAUGAAGGAUUUAAUAAUCCGGCUGUGGCCAGCCGAAGCUAUACCCAGCAGUUAUUUUAGCCUCAUGAAGCGGGUGGUGGAGGCCUGUCCGCGGCUAGACAUUGUCAAGCGAUCAGUCUGCAUCGAAGGUGCACGCAUGGCCUUCGCCCGUUGCAAGAUGUGGUAGGCGAAGAUGGACGCCGUCGAGGUGGCCAGGGGGCCGCCAGAGGGCAAGGAGCACCGCACACCCGAGCGAUAUUUUGCAGAUGUCCUAGAGGGGUCUCAACUUGCAGCAACGCGGUGCGGGCAGGACAUUAUUUUCGAAUGAAUACAUUCGUGUUUGUCUUUGCCUUGUAUGAUGAAAACAAAGCCGGUUUGUAAUAUAAUGUUUGUUAUGUUUUAAUUGUUUCCUCCUGUGCGGCCGUGUUGUAUGGAAUCUGAGGGUUGGCCAGUCGUCGGCUUCUGCCCUCGCGUAGGUAGUAUGGAGGUGUUCGGGGUGGAAUCUAAACAAUCUUGAUCCAAUUAUAUGGUCCUUGAAGGAGUUGUUUAGCGCAACGAACCAGGCAAUCAGACUAUGUGGCUUAAACGCCCUCACUUAGCUAUAGGAGUUUUAUAAUAAAACAUGGAUGCAACCCCUGGUAUACGAACCAGAGUGCUGUCGCGGAAAAAAUCUCCAGCGAUUUGUAACCUCCGAACAGCUGACCGGCUCUCGCCGCAUCAUGACAGUCAGUUUUCGGCUUUCUCUACUGAGGUGCUCAUCCGGUUUAGACCAGGGCACAAUCGCAGUAGUUCUCCCUUUACUACUCUAGCCGAUGUAGCGGUAGGGUAGCAAGCACAGGAGCCGGGCAACCCAACUAUUGACCAAAGACAUGAUUCGGAGCCAAUGCAUAUAAUGCUAAAUUCGGGGUGCCGAACUUAUCUAUAAGAAGUGUUCGGACUUUGUUGCCGUAUUAUGGGGCGAUGGGGAGCCCCUGGCAAAUAUGAAUCGUACCAAAGUGUAUGGGUGCUAGAAGAGAAAUAAUUAAUGGUAAAAGGAAAACAGAAAGGGAGCAGAGGUAGUAUCUGGGGCCCUUGAACUUGGGCCGUGAACUGUUUCCAUUAUAAUUGGGUUAAUGCGUUAAAGCGCAUUGAUACAAAUAGUGUGAUAAGCCACCGGCUAUUUAACAUGCCGUAACCAAAGGCGAGCUGCGUUUGGGUCCUGAAAACAGGUAGAGUAAUCGUUGGAUUGUCCUCUAGAGCUUCCCCUGUAUGCCUGUGCUCUGUGCCAAUCUGGUGUACUUGUCCUUUGACAGGACCAGUGAUCACGCCAUCAAAGGAGGCCUGUAUAAAAGAGACCUGAAAAGGGGGGAAAGGAAAUAGUAAAGGUACAAGUGAGUCCGGGAUCGGUGUAGCCGAACUGUGGACCACAAGCUAGCUAUGCCUCCGUUGAUGCCCAUGGGAUUUUGAGUGCGUAAUUAUGUACGCGUGGUACGAAUGCCACUACCUCAUCGGGACUGGGACGGAGGACGAAUUGAUAAUCGAGCUCUUGACGAGCCGAGUUGUCCUGUUGCAGUGUGGUCCGGACCCUCUUAGUGAUGUCCAGGGGCUCGGCAGCCGGAUUAUAGUUCUGCUUGAAAAGGCCGCUCUGUACCUUUGCUGCUAGGGCGGCUGUGUGCUCCUCUGUACGGAGGGAGCGUUCCGUGUUUCCAUUGACUGUUAUGACGCCGCGUGGACCGGGCAUCUUGAGCUUGAGAUAAGCAUAAUGUGGCACCGCGUUGAAUCUAGCAAACGCGGUUCGUCCGAGCAGUGCGUGGUAGCCGCAGCGGAAGGGGACGAUAUCGAAGAUUAGCUCUUCGCUUUGGAAGUUGUCCGGGGAACCGAAGACCACCUCCAGCGUGAUUGAGCCCGUACAACGGGCCUCUAUGCCUGGUAUGACUCCUUUAAAGGUAGUCUUUGUGGGCUUGAUUUGUGAGGGAUUAAUGCCCAUUUUGCGCACUGUAUCCUGAUAGAGCAGGUUGAGGCUGCUACCACCGUCCAUUAGGACUCGUGUUAGGUGAAAUCCGUCAAUGAUUGGGUCGAGGACCAGUGCGGCCGAACCGCCAUGACGGAUACUAGUUGGAUGAUCUCGACGAUCAAAGGUGAUCAGGAAUGACGACCACAGAUUGAAUUUUGGGGCGACUGGCUCUACUGCAUAGAUGUCCCUGAGUGCGCGCUUGCGCUCCCUUUUGGGGAUGUGUGUAGCAUAUAUCAUGUUCACCGUUUUGACUUGAGGGGGAAAUUUCUUCUGCCCCCCAGUGUUUGGCUGCCAGGGCUCUUCGUCAUCGUCCUCACUUUGUGGUACCUUUUCCUCGUUCUCGGCAUUUAACUUGCCAGCCUGUUUAAAAACCCAACAAUCUCUGUUGGUAUGAUUGACUUGUUUGUCCGGGGUGCCAUGUAUCUGACACGGACGGUCGAGUAUGCGGUCCAAGCUGGAUGGUCCCUCACUGUUCCUUUUAUAGGGCUUUUUCCGCUGGCCGGACUUGGAGCCACUGAAUCCAGCGUUAAUUGUAGUGUCAUCGGUGUUAUCGCCAUUGCUUCGGCGUUUGUGUCUAUUGCACCGGAGCUUGCCGGUGCUGUUUUUGGCCUCGGAGGGGCCUGCCUCGCUGGCUGUGUUUUUGCUACGAGCCAGCCAGCUAUCCUCACCCGCGCAAAAGCGGGUCAUGAGUGCUGUGAGGGCUGCCAUGGAUUUCGGCUUUUCUUGGCCGAGGUGGCGGGCGAGCCAUUCAUCGCGGAUGCUGUGUUUGAAGGCCGCUAGGGCUUCGGCAUCCGGACAGUCAACGAUCCAGUUCUUUUUGGUUAGGAACCUAGUCCAGAUUUUUUUGGCUGAUUCUCUAGGUUGUUGAACUAUAUGACUUAAGUCAUCGACGUCUGGUGGUCGGACAUAAGUACCUUGGAAGUUGUCAAGAAAAGCUUCUUCCAAGUCCUCCCAGCUGCCGAUUGAAUUUUCAGGCAGGCUGUUUAACCAGUGUUGAGCUGGCCCUUUGAGCUUUAGUGGGAGGUAUUUGAUGGCGUAGAGGUCGUCUCCACAGGCCAUAUGGAUGUGGAGAAUAAAAUCCUCAAUCCAUACUGCGGGAUCGGUUGUUCCGUCGUAUGAUUCAAUGUUGACGGGCUUGAACCCCUCGGGGAAUUCAUGAUCCAUUACUUCAUCUGUGAAGCAAAGAGGGUGUGCGGCGCCUCUAUAUCGGUCCGCGUCACGGCGCACCUCCGAUGGAGUCCGCAUGCGGUUAUCGGCCCGGGCGUGACUAGGUUUGUCACGUCCGAAUAGGUAGCCGUCGUUGCGAGUCGAAAAAUGUCCUCGUGAUCUGUAGAUUGAUCUGGUGUGUCCUGCUCUACUGUCCAGGUCCUGCCGAAGGUCGUAUGUAUAGUCCCGAGCUGUUUUGUCUCUGUUUUUUUGAGGCGGUGGGGCGGGCUGCUGUUCUGCCUGAGUUGCUGAUACGUCUCCGUCGUAUCUAUAAUUUUUGAUUGUUCCAUGCCAAUAUUAUUCAACUUUCAUAUACUUUUGGCAACUUUUUAUAUUAUUUUUGGGACUAACAUAUUGAUCUAGUGCCCAGUGCCAGUUCCUGUUUGUUGCAUGUUUUAUGUUUCGGAGAAACCCCAUAUCAAAUGGAGUCCAAACGGGAUAAAAACGGACGGAGAAUUAUUUUGGAAUAUUUGUGAUUUUUGGGAAGUAAAAUCAACGCGAGACGGUGCCCGAGGUGGCCACGAGGGUGGGGCCCACGCCCACUCUAGGCAGGCGCGCCCCUGACCCUCGUGGGCCCCCCAUAAGGCGGUUGAUGCCCUUCUUCGACCACAAGAAAGCUAAUUUUUGGAAAAAGAUCUGGGCGAAGGUUUGAAUCCAAUCGGAGUUACGGAUCUCCAGAUAUAAAAGAAACGGUGCCAGGGCAGAAUCCCAGAACGCAGAGACAGAGAGAAACAGAGAGAUAGAUCCAAUCUCGGAGGGGCUCUCGCCCCUCCCACGCCAUGGAGGCCAAGGACUAGAGGGGAAACCCUUCUCCCAUCUAGGGAGGAGGUCAAGGAAGAAGAAGAAGAAGACGAAGGGGCCCCCUCUCCCCUUCUCUUCCGGUGGCACCGGAACGCCGCCGUGGCCAUCAUCAUCACCGCAAUCUUCACCAACAACUUCACCGCCAUCAUCACCAACUCUUCCCCCCUCUAUGCAGCCGUGUAACCUCUCUCUUACCCGCUGUAAUCUCUACUUAAACAUGGUGCUCAACGCUAUAUAUUAUUUCCCAAUGAUGUAUGGCUAUCCUAUGAUGUUUGAGUAGAUCCGUUUUGUCCUAUGGGUUAUUUGAUGAUCAAGAUUGGUUUGAGUUGCAUGUUUUAUUAUUGGUGUUGUCCUAUGGUGAUCUCCGUGUCGCGCAAGCGUGAGGGAUCCUCGCUGUAGGGUUUGCAAUAUGUUUAUGAUUUGCUUAUGGUGGGUGGCGUGAGUGACAGAAACACAGACCCGAGUAAGUAGGUUGUUUGAGUAUGGGAUAAAGGGGACUUUAUACUUUACUUCUAUGGUUGGGUUUUACCUUAAUGAAUCUUUAGUAGUUGUGGACGCUUGCUAGAGUUCCAAUCAUAAGUGCAUAUGAUCCAAGUAGAGAAAGUAUGUUAGCUUAUGCGUCUCCCUCAAAUAAAAUUGCAAUAGUGAUUACCGGUCUAGUUAUCGAUUGCCUAAGGACAAAUAACUUUCUCGUGACAACAAACUCUUUACUAAAACUAAUUUAGUUGUGUCUUUAUCUAAGCAGCCCCUAGCUUUUAUUUACGCGCUCUUUAUAUUCUUGCAAACCUAUCCAAAAACACCUACAAAGUACUUCUAGUUUCAUACUUGUUUUCGGUAAAGCGAACGUCAAGUGUGCGUAGAGUUGUAUCGGUGGUCGAUAGAACUUGAGGGAAUAUUUGUUCUACCUUUAGCUCCUCGUUGGGUUCGACACUCUUACUUAUCAAAAGAGGCUACAAUUGAUCCCCUAUACUUGUGGGUUAUCAAGACCUUUUUCUGGCGCCGUUGCCGGGGAGUCAUAGCCGGGGGUGAAUAUUCUCAUGUGUGCUUGUUUGCUUUAUCACUAAGUAAUUUUUAUUUGUUGUUCUUAGUUGUUCUUUAUAUUUAGUUAUGGAUAUGGAACACGAAAUACCAAAAAAAAAUUAGGUGUACUUGAUGCUCAUGGAGAUGGGGAACCUCCUAAAACCCUCGAUGCUGGUUAUGUGAAAGAUAUUAUGUACUACUUUGAUAAUCCUGAGAAAACCCCAUUCAACUAUGUAAUGGGAGUAACGUUGGAUCAACAUGAAUACUUUAGGGAUUAUCACCUGACACAAAAAGGGAAACUAUUAUGGGAUCAAAUUCAUAUACUGAAGUGGUAUGCUCGGCAAGUAUGCCUGAGUUAUGAUUAUACUUGUUGCUCUAGGAUGAAGGCUCCACACCUUCUCUUUUCAUGCAAAUUUAAUGAUAAUAAAACCUUAGCUUCUUCUGCUAAUGGUAUAUAUGAUUACUAUGAUGUGGAACAAAUAGAAGAAUUUGUUGCUUUUAUGGGUGCUUAUGAAAUUGAAUCUAUGUUUAAAGAGUUUGAAGAUUUUGAUGAUGAUGUUUAUAGACCUGAAAAUUUAGCUAUCCUCAAAUAUUGCUAUGAGAAUUAUGAAUACAAUUCCGAUAUUAAUGCACUUAUUGAGAAAGUCUCCGCUGUCCAAGAAGAGAUUAAUAUUUUGCAGGAAUCUAUGGAAGAAGAAGUUGAUGAAACUGUGAGCUCAUUGGAUGAAAAAGAUGAGGAGGA